AGGUGAGAGACUUUGUUGGAGCAUCUACUCCCAGUUCAUCAUGUUUUGCCUUCUCUCAGUCACAAAAGCAAGAGUCAACCAACUGUAGACUGAAACACCAGUAACUUCUACCCACAUAACAUCACAAGACGUGAAGUUCAAGAAGUGUGCACAGUUAAAGUUUGUAAACUGCAACCACUAGAAGAUAUUAGUUCCCAUGAAGGAUUUCCUAUUCCUUUUGUUCAGCUUAUUCUUCAGAAAAGAAUAAUGCAGUAUUUUAAGUAAGUAU